AUGGGCAUAAAAUCUGAAAAGAGAAGUGACUCCAAACCAGGCUUCUCUUCAGUUUUUUUUUUUUUUUUCUUUAAGGCACCACAUAAAUCUAACAGAAUGAAUGCAGCCACCGUGUUCCUAAUUUAUGUAAAACUACUUAUUUUCUUAUUUACUUUGAUAAUGUUGGCAGAAACAAAUUGUUUCCUUGAACUUCCAUUUCCCCUAUAGCUUCCUUCUCUAAUCCAGCCUCCAGACUAUCAGGGUUUCCAAAACACAAUCUGCUUCAUUAUCUUAAUUAAAAUCUUUAGUGGAUCCACAUGGUCUGCACUGAAUUAACUAAUGGAUCCUCUCAGUAGCAUUCUUCAAUUUAUGCCACUCUCCAUUCAUUUGUUUAUUCAAUAAGUAACUCUCCCUACCAUGUUCCCAACGUUCUAAUCAUACUAAGAUACUUAAUAUUACUUGCACAAUAUGAUAUACUUCUUUCUUUUCUUUGUUUCUCCUACUGGAAAUGUUUUUACUCUUGUUCAUCUGACAAAAGAAAAUUCUAAUUCAUAUCAAGAUAAAAUUCAUACACUUUGCACUUUGAGAAUCAACUUUUGAAUAUUUUAUCUCAGAAAACAUAUUUCUUCCUCUGUGUUCCCAUAACAAUUUGUUUCUUUCACUGAAAGUCAGGUACCAUGGCUUAUUCAUAUUUGUAACUUAACGUGCCCAGAAUUCUGCCUGGAAACUCAAUGAGGUAUUUGUUAAAUCAAAAUAAAUUAGAUAUAGAUACUUACAGAACCCACUAUUUCUUUGACAUUGAGAUUUCUUAAAUCAGUAGUAUGUCUACAUCUCUGUACUACAAAGUGUGAGCAUUGAUGGUAUAUAAAGAAAAUAGGUCUUAACUUGGAUUUGUUUAUAAAUAGAAGGGAAGGGAAGACAAGUAAAUAAUAACGCAUUUCUUCAUCCAAUGCAGUAGCUAUGUUGAAACCUGAUUCAAAUAGAGGCCUUGUUCUUAGUAGUAAUUAUACUAUAAUUAUUAUAGUAUAUAAUUAUAAAAUAUACUAUACAUGCUAUAAUAGUAUAUAACUAAUAUCUUAUUAAUGUGUAAUAUUCAAUAUUAUCUAUUAAGAAAUUUUCUAUUCUUCUGAGGCUAACAUCAUUCUUUCUAAAUUAAUUCUCCAUUUGUAGCAAGUGAAAUAUUUCCCCAGUUUUAGCACUUAUACUGAGGUUUUCUGUUUCAAAUAAUGUUGGUUAUUAGUAGAGAUGCUGUGAUUUAAAUAUGUGCCUCUUACUGAUGAAUUCAGAAAGGCAGCACUAGCCAUUUUUAUUAUAAUUGCUCUGAGGCACUGAGAUGCUUCUAAGAGCACAAAACUACAAAUCAAACAAUUUAAAAUCUCUAAAUGACUCUCCAUAGCCAGACCACUAAAUUUUACUCAUUCCAGCAAAGAGGAAUAGGUGAUUUCAUGUCUUGAGAGUGGUUGUAACUAUAACCUGAGUCCCUCUUUAAAAUGAGUUUUCAAUGAUGAGUCAGUUCAGUUCAGUUGCUCGGUCAUGUCCGCCUCUUUGCAACCCCAUGAAUCACAGCACACCAGGCCUCCCUGUCUGUCACCAACU
ensembl:lncRNA